ensembl:lncRNA
AUGGAGGAGCCGUCAGCACUCGUCGACUUCCUUCGGGAGAGAGGGAUUUCAGAGGACCUGAUCCAGCGAAUGGAAACGGAUAAGAUUGAUGUCUCUGUGAUUCCACUGAUGGCUGAAACCGAACUUCAGCAGUACAUCCCUCAUUACGGAGAUCGACUAGCAGUCAUAGACUAUUGCCUUAAUAACCAGCCUCCUGAACGGAGAACCCAAAUGAUGGACCGACUGCAGACCACGCUGUUCGGCCCGAGAGAGGAGGUCUCCAGAAAGCACAUGGGCAACACUUACGCCAAAAAGAAAGCCAGGAGAGUGGAGCUCGGGUGGAUGAACUAUAAUGAGAAAAGCUGCAACUUCAAGCAGGUUCGCACUGCCAACGGUGGAGGAACCAAACACAUCAGCAUCAACAAGCAGGCGAAACUGUGUGACGUUCAGAAAAUGGCUGAGAGGAUCUUCUUUCCUACUGGAGCUUCCAGGUUCUUCUAUCUUAAGGAUGUUGACUGCGACAUCCGGGACUUCUCUCACAGGCGUCUGGAUCAGAGCCUAACUGUGGAAGAUCUUUAUAAAGCAAAUAAAGCGAAAAUUGUGAGACUCUACCUCUUUACAAAAAAGCGCAACGUGAACAAUGGUGUGAACAAUGGCACGAACAACGACGUGAACAGUGUGCCCAGUUCCCUAGAAUUUUCUCAGGGGGGUAGCAGCAGUUACUCGCAGCUUGAGAACGGUGACUUCGGAUUUCGUGCGGCACAGAGCCAAACUUUUGAAAAUCACCAGACUUCUCGAGAAGGUAGUAAUAACACACAUGGUACAGUGAGAUUCGACCAAGGAUACGAUGAAACCUAUUGGGAGGAACUGAAUCCGGAGAACAGUUACGUCGCAAAUACCGAAUGGAUGGUGGAACAUAACAACGAAGAUUCUCUGAAUAAUUCAGACGUCGGCAGAAUCGUUCCACACGUCGGUGAGGUUCCAACAAGCACUGGGAACGCCUUCACGAUAAAAGUUGGCAAGGAGGAGGAGCUCGGAACACCAGCUGAGAUUAUCGAUUGCGACAGUUUCGACGACACUGUUUCUUUCGAAGACGAUACUAGGAAGCUUGCUGUUGUGGUACGGCGAGGAAGCUGUCUCAAAGAUAUGAUGGCUGCUUUCAAUGACCCAACAAUAAUGGACAAGGACCUGAUAAUCCAUAUGAAGCUUCCUAACGGAGCAUUGGAAACACAAACUGGACCGGGAGUUUUCAGGGAUUGCCUUUCUGAAUUUUGGAGCGAAUUUUACCACAGAUGUACUCUAGGGGCGGAUGUUAAGGCACCGUUACUAAGACAUGAAUUUCAAGCCCCUGAGUGGCAGGCCAUUGCGAGGGUUCUUGUAAAAGGUUGGCUUUCCGAAAAAUACUUCCCCGUUCAUCUCCCGCUUCCGUUCUUGGAACAGGCGUUCUACGGAACGAUCUACAGCAGCGUGACGGACGCUUUUAUGCUCUACGUCUCAAAGAAUGACCGAGAGGUUCUUCGACAAGCAUCAAACGACUUUUUGUCCGUAGACGAAGAGUCACUGCUGGACGUUCUCGGUUCGUACGAAUGCCAUCGGAGACCAACUGCAGAAAACCUCGUCCCACUCCUGUCUCAGCUAGGCCACAAAGCUCUCAUCCAAGCGCCAACGUAUGUGAUCCAGUGUUGGAAGCCUGUUCUUGCGGAUCUUGCCAGAACUCUCUCCCCAAAGAAAUUGGUGGAGAUCAUCGAGGAACGAGUUCCAUCGCCCAAGAAGGUGAACACUGUUCUGAAAUUCCCAGAAGACAUGAACGCCCAACAGACUACAGUAUCACGAAACCUGAAACGGUACAUCAGGGAAAUAGAUGAAGGUACCCUAGAGCGCUUUCUUCGCUUCUGUACGGGGGCGGACGUUCUCUUCGGAAAGGACAUCGCAGUGCAGUUCUCUGAAAAGAAAGACUUGGAAUGUCGCCCACAAGCACAUAUGUGUUCAUGCCUUCUCGUACUGCCUGUAAAAUACCAGAAUUACCCAGAUCUGCGGAGUGGCUUCAGUGCUGUUCUUAAUAACUCAGUUUCGGUAAUGAAUAUCAUAUAAUAUUGUAUAAUAUCAUAUAUACGGAAAGCACUGUUAAGUUAACCGGUUGUAUACAUACUUAGGGAUGUCUCAAUCUAAUCCAGGGGAUCAGGUAUCGAGUAUUAUUUUAUUAUAUUUAUCUCAAUAUAGGUUGGGUUAUUUAGUUAUUCUUUUGACACUGGUGUCCAUCCUCAAGAUAUUAAAUGUGGACAUUACUGUGUAGCCAACAGUACUGAGGAGAGUUUUCAGAAGAGUUUGCAUUGUGAAACUGUAUUAUUUUACAGUGGGGCAAAAAAAAAACACUCCAUAAUAUUUAAACUAAACUAUACAUUUUUUUUUUUUUUUUUUUUACCAAAACCUAAAAACACUGUUUUUUUUACUUUUUAUUUAGUUUUCUCCAGAACUAACUAGAGACUUAUGCUAAUGCUAAAGCUAAUACAUACAAUAGAAACCUCAAAAAUGAAAAACAAUGCACUUUCUCCCACGGUAAAUCAGAAUUAUUAAGAAAUUAUCUGGAAGGAUUGUGGGCUAAAUAACCUGAUUGGGACAUCCCUAAUAUGUAUCCUUCUCGGUUUGUAGUUUUAUAAAAUUUUUAUUAAUUUAAGGAGAAAAAUGAGAAAAUGGAUUAAAGGAGAAAUCUGGUGUGAAAUUGAUCUUGGGUUGUAGUGAAACUAGGGUUGAACUUUUGUUCAAAUAGGCCAUCUCUAUUCACCCGCAGCAUUCCUAAAUACCGCGCUUUUAGCCGAUGCUCCCAACAAACUUACGAUGCAAGCAAUAGGGGCAUAGAGUUUUACCCAUGCAAAGAAAUCACUAUUUGUACACCAUUACCAAGCUCAAAGUAGCUUGACGUUCUCAGUGCCUAGUUUUCAAUGUCAGGGCUCUCAGAAUUAGACCAAUGAAGUGUGGAGCUACUUUGAGUGUGUUGUUAAUGGUGUAGAAAUAGUGAUUUCUUUGCAUUGGCAACUCUGCAUUGGCCCCUAUCACUAGCAUUUAAAGCUUGGAAGCAUCGGCUAAAAGUGCUGUAUUUGGAAGUACUGGAGGGGACAGAGAUGGGCUAUUUAACAAAAGUUCGUACUCAUUUUUAUGUUUCACUAUAUGAAAUAGACUUUAGGUGUAUUAAAACAUGAUAAAAAAUUACUUACCUUUGUUAAAUAGCCCUCCUCCGCUCUCCAGCAGCUAAGAGUAUUUUUGCGCCUGCAGAUAAAUUGCUUUUUACAUCGUUAUUCAGCUCAAAGUAGCUCCACACUUCAUUGGUAGAGUCCAGAGAGCCCUGCUAUUUAAAACGAGGCAUUUUAAACUUUAAAACUGGACAAGAAGUUUAUUAAAAGCCACUGUUUAUGUCUCAUAGCGGAGAUAGAUCUCCGGGCGCCGCCAUCUUUAAAUUUAAGUCACAAUAAGUCACGAGAACGAAUAGGAAUAGGUGGGAUAGCUGAGCAGAUUGCAAAAGUUAUUCCUUAAUAUUCUUUAAAAAUGCAUGAAUUCCAGUUGUUUCUAAAAAAUAUUUGGUUAGUGUUAAUAUUAGAAUGCAAAGAACCAAAAACGGGGGUGUGCUAUUCAACAAAGGUAAGUACUUUUUAUCAUGUUUUAAUACACCCAAAGAUUUCUCCUUUAAGUUAUUGUGUUAAAGGAUAACUCUGGUGUAAAAUGGACUUUUGUUGAAGUAAAACAUGAUAAAAAGUUCUUAUCUUUGAUGAAUAGCUCACCUCCGUUCUCCCACAGCGUUCAGAGAUCCAGACAUUUUAACAGUUUGUCCAAAACACCCUUCAGACUGGGUGACAUGGGGCAUAAUUUACCCUGAUAAAUCACUUUUUACACCGUUUUCCAGCUCAAAGUAGCUCCACACCUCCUUAUUACUGAACUGAUUACAACAUAUAAAUACCUAGCCUGCCUCCUGGCGGCCACUGCUAUGCGGAGUCUAUGUAUGUAUGUAUGUAUGUAUGUAUGUAUGUAUAUAUAUAUAUAUAUAUAUAUAUAUAUAUGUGUAUGUGUGUGUGUGUGUGUCUUAUUAUCAGUACAGUGAUGGCGGCGCACAGAGCUGAAGCUAGCGUUAUAGGAUGUAAACAGUGGCUUUUAAUAAACUUCAUAAACUAGUUUUAAAUGUUUUAAAG